rnacentral:misc_RNA from 1 species
UGUAUGUGUGUAACCAGG